rnacentral:rRNA from 1 species
UGUGAUGCCCUUAGUAAUGGCGAAUGAAACGGGCCAAGUCCAGCACCGAACUGCUGACUCUUAAGGUCAUGCGGAAUGUGGUGUGUGAGUUUGUCUCAUCUCGAUUAGACAUUCAGCUCAAGUUCGCCUUGACUGGGACCAUUGCCCAUAGAGGGUGAUAGGCCCGUACGGCGUUUGUUUGAUCGAGCAGACAAAACUCUAGAGUCGAGUUGCUUGGGAGUGCAGCUCAAAGAGCGAGGUAAACUCCUCGUAAGACUAAAUAUGACCUCGAGACCGAUAGCGAACAAGUACCGUGAGGGAAAGUUGAAAAGCACUUUGAAGAGAGAGUUAAAGAGUACGUGAAAGUGCAUAGUGGUAAACAGAGGCGUCCUCGAAGUUUGGAACAGUGGUCCAAACCGACGAUCCGUCGUCGAUGGUAUCUCACUGUUUCUGAACACAACGGCUUGUUGAUAACUGAUCUGUGAGUCGUGAAUGACGUUGAAUGUUGCCCUCGUGGUGAUGUCCAGCUUCACGUAGCUCGAUCAGUGGUCGACAAGUUUGACUCGUGUCUCGAGUCGAGUCGUUGUGAGUAGGUUGUUGGCGUCUCUGACCCGUCUUGAAACACGGACCAAGGAGUCUAACAUGUGUGCAAGUCGCAGAGUUGAUGAAACUCAUGGGCGAAGUGAAAGCAAAGAGUGCUAUUGUGUACUCUAGGGGUGAUUGUCGAUCCUCGUGAUAGACGCGCAACCCCGGCGUUUUGUGAUGACCACGUUCAUGCAGAACAGCAAGAGCAUACAUGUUGGGA